rnacentral:rRNA from 1 species
AUUGAACGCUGGCGGCAUGCCUUACACAUGCAAGUCGAACGGCAGCACGGGGGCAACCCUGGUGGCGAGUGGCGAACGGGUGAGUAAUACAUCGGAAUGUACCCAGUAGUGGGGGAUAACUAGUCGAAAGAUUAGCUAAUACCGCAUACGCACUAUGGUGGAAAGCGGGGGAUCGCAAGACCUCGCGCUAUUGGAGCAGCCGAUGUCCGAUUAGGUAGUUGGUGGGGUAAAGGCCUACCAAGCCUGCGAUCGGUAACUGGUCUGAGAGGACGACCAGUCACACUGGGACUGAGACACGGCCCAGACUCCUACGGGAGGCAGCAGUGGGGAAUUUUGGACAAUGGGGGAAACCCUGAUCCAGCAAUGCCGCGUGUGUGACGAAGGCCUUCGGGUUGUUAAAGCAACGUUUUGGACGGGAACGAAACGGCGCGUUUUCUAAUACUAGAGCGCUAAUGACGGUACCCGCAGAAUAAGCACCGGCUAACUACGUGCCAGCAGCCGCGG